CACUUGUGGUUGUCAUAGAAACCUGGGGUCAUUAUGGCGACCGCUUGCAAUGGCCGCCCAGGCUGUGUUCUGAAAGGAGCAUCCUGGUGUUUGGACUGAGUGAGCAUCUGGGUUCCGGGAGGAGUGGUUUGCGAUUCAGUUUGGUUCAGAGGCAGUGCUUCUGUGUGUCCUACCUCUCAUCUCAGGUGGAUGGAAGGACCAAGGCACUUUGGAGUAAUUCAAUUUCAUCAGCUCUCCCAGGACUCCCUGGAGCUUAUUAAGGAUGUGUCUCAGACUUUAACUUCCUGUUAUGCAAUCCUAUUUGCAUCGCUAAUUAGUGGAUGAAGUUGCUCAUCUGUCACCCCUCCACAGUGUUCAUCUCUGACUGUGAGGACAUUUCCAUGGAGACCACCAUGCUCUGGACCUAUUAACACGAGGUGUCCCAGAGGUUAACUUUGUGCUGUGAGGCCGAGGUGGCAUAGCUGACUAGUGGAUGCAGUUGCUCAUCUGUCACUGGACAACACUGUUCAUCGCUGACUGUGACCUCUGUGGUCUGUGGUUUGCGAUUCAGUUUGGUUCAGAGGCAGUGCUUCUGUGUGUCCUACCUCUCAUCUCAGGUGGAUGGAAGGACCAAGGCACUUUGGAGUAAUUCAAUUUCAUCAGCUGUCCCAGGACUCCCUGGCAGGGGCUUGUCUUCAUUUUUCAGCCAUAUACUUGGAAGAGUGUAUGUCUGUCACUUUAUGGAAGUCCAAACAAUCUACUUCUGAACUCAUGAAAAGAGGUGAUUUCUCUUUCUCCUUACUCUGCCUUCUGGUAGACCCUGAGAGAAAGCUCUGGGCUCUCCAUCCAGAACCAGGUCCUGGAGCAGAACCAACUGUGGCAUAGAGUCUUGUCAACAUAUUACCUGCGUCAGAGUGACAAGAUCAUGUGGACCACAAUAGUUUGGUUUCAGGAAAUAGCAUUUGACUUGUGUCCUGAAUGAGAAGCAGAAGCAAGGCGUGUGCAAGCCAUGUUGUUGGUGUGCCCAACCAUCUGGAGUACAGGGGAUCUAAGAGCAGACGACAAGGCCUGUGGCCAGAGCCUUGGAGUCAAUGUGGAAACUGCUUGGGAAUUAGAUCGAAAGAGUCUGGGUCAUUGGCUCUUCACACACAACCACAGCCGUACAAUAGCAGCAGCAUCCAGUCCCUUGUUACCUUUGAGGAAGCUGGGUGUCUAAGAUAGGGUCACUCACUAAACUUGGAACUAGACUGAGCAAGUCCGACCCAGCAAUCCAUCUCCCACAGCAGUGGAGUCACAGAUGUGUGUGUCACUAUAGUCAACAUUUUUGCUUUUGAAAGUCUUCGUGGAAAGGAUAGACGUGGAGUACAGGAAUACUGUGGGGCAUUGUAAGGACUCUCAAGAAAAAAAAACUGAGGGAAGUGUUGCAAUGGCAGGUUCAUGGAAAACUAGUAGAUGAGAUUAACAAUACAGACAAAAUAUUGUCAUCGUUAAUGGGAACAGCUGGUUUCAUGGGUUAACUGAUAGAAUCAAGGUAAUCCGUUGUUGCUGGGGAUGUCGGUGAAGAUUUUCCUGGAAAAGAUCAGUGUUUGACUCAGUAGACAGUUGAAUAAAGGAGAUCUGUCUUCAGCAGUGUGAACAGAAACAUCAAGCCAAUUGAAGGGCCCAGACAGAAGAAAAGCAUGGAAAAACUGUGUCCUGGCACUCUCCACUGCAGCCAAAAUGUUCUUAUGGAAUGGAUGAUGCUGACUGUACAUGGGAAAUGAAGGGAGUUGUUCUGUUCAUUGAAGAGACCUGACAUUGGCAAGGAGAGGAAGCCAGCACUGCCACCUGGGACAAUGGUGACACCCGGGACUGGCUGCUGCCGAGGCUGGGUCUAUGGUCCUACUACAGCUGGUGUUGAAGUCCAAGGGCCAUGUUGCCACCAAAGGCCACAUGGGAGUCUGAGUCUGGGCCUCAUCCUGUGGCCUUAUUGGUGUCUGAGGGCCUUGCCUCUGCCAGAGAGGUUCUGAUCAGAGUGGUCUGUGCUGCCACCUGGAGCCAUGGUGUCGUCCAGGUCACAGCUGAAGCCUAGGACCAUUUCUGGGUCUCUAGGCCUGCGGCAGGUGGGGUCUGUGGCUCAUGUUACCACAGGGGGCCAAAAGAGCCAUACACGAUGAAAUCUGAAGGCCAGGCUGAGCUGGCCUUGCCCUUCGCUGGACACGGCAGAAAAGGUGCUGGCCCCACCCUUCAUGGUGUGAAUGUGAGAACUGGUCCUGACAGCAUGGGCAUAGGAGAGUUGGCUCCACCCCUAAUCUGAAGGGGGUAGCCCUAGGGGCCGGGACUGACAAGUUCAGCUACCACCCAAGGACAUGUUCAGGGCCCUGGGUUGGCCCAUGCUAACAUCUACCCCAUCUAUAUAACCUGAUGGAACCUGUGAGGAGACUGGUUCUAUGGAAUGAUACCUGUGGGAUCUCUGUUACUUGGGGUGGCUGCUGGAUAUCCACGAGGACUUUUGGCCAGGGUUAGUGAAGAUGGUGUAGCAGAAACCAGAGGCCAUGAAGAAAAUCAAUGACUCAUUGCAGGGAACUCAUUGCAAGUAAAGCUGACUGGACACAAGGGUAUACUGUGUGGCUCACAGAGGACUCCAAUGCCACUAAGAUGAAAUGAAGAGGUGUUGGAGAGGCAGGAAAGAUGGCAGAGCAAAGAGGUUUUCCAUUUGUUUGUUUUGGGGUUUUGUUUGUUUUGCUUUGGUUUUAACUUGUAUUUUCUUUGGGGGUGAAGGGCAGGUGGGGGAAUUGGGAAUGAGCUGAAUUGGGUGCAUGAUGUGAAAUUGCCAAAGAAUCAAUAAAGAGAUUAUGUUAGAAGAUUACAAUCAUCCAGUUUUUUUAAGUGCAUAUGUAACAGGCAGCAGCCUCAUGCCCAGAGAAAAGUCUCUGUUAAAAUCAGAUUCUUAGCAAGACCGUCAAACCAGAUGUGUCUUUUUACAUCCAUCUGAGACAUUCUAGUGUGUCAGUGAUGAUGGUUUCAGCGGUUAUUAUCACCGAAAGGUCCAGAGUUUGUGUGGAUGAACCAUUCUCACCCCCAUUUGACAGAACUGGGAGUUGGGUGAGAGCAGGCAUUGCUGCCUAUUUUAUUUGCCACCAACACCCCACCUUUUCCCAGACAAGUGGCACCUGGGCACCUGAGCCAGAACAGUAUACUCUUGUGUAUCCAGAAGGCAUCCAUCUCUCCCUCAGGAGAUGAAGCAGCACCACACUGAU